UUUUUUUGUGGAUUUUAAGUGCGUAAAGUCCUGAGCCCUGAUAAUACUAUACAUUGUUCUGUGUUGUGCCUGGGAAUAUCGGCACCCGGUAUCGGGAAAAUUUAGCCUCGAGCGAAGACAAAAAAAAAAAAAAAGGAAAACGUUAAACCUGGGCGUUCGCUGGUACGUUUAUUGUAAAAAUUAUCAAUUGUGGAACUUUAAACAUUUCUAUUGGCGUUCCCCAGGUCGAAAAACCUCUCUCAAUCCUCUUGGCGCGGCUCUGCUUGUCUAUAAAAUAUGUAAGGCAGUUUUGAAGAAACAGUAUACGGGAAUUUAUUAAAAAAAAAAAACGUUGAUCUCGAUAAACGAAUAUUCAAUCAUACACCUCCCGCGCGAC